GACGAACGCUGGCGGCGUGCUUAACACAUGCAAGUCGAACGGUAAGGCCCUUUGGGGUACACGAGUGGCGAACGGGUGAGUAACACGUGGGUGAUCUGCCCUGCACUUCGGGAUAAGCCUGGGAAACUGGGUCUAAUACCGGAUAGGACCAUGGACUUCACGGUUUGUGGUGGAAAGCUUUUGCGGUGUGGGAUGGGGCCCGCGGCCUAUCAGCUUGUUGGUGGGGUAAUGGCCUACCAAGGCGACGACGGGUAGCCGGCCUGAGAGGGUGUCCGGCCACACUGGGACUGAGAUACGGCCCAGACUCCUACGGGAGGCAGCAGUGGGGAAUAUUGCACAAUGGGCGCAAGCCUGAUGCAGCGACGCCGCGUGAGGGAUGAC
rnacentral:rRNA from 1 species